AUGAAAAGAAAACUAUCUUGGCUGAUAAUGAUUUGUGGGCUUAAAAGAGAGGAUCCAGAUAUUUUGAAAUGGAAACAUGGAGAACCUAAGUUUAUUGACUUGCUAGAUAAAUGUUUCAAAGGUGUCAUAGCUACUGGAUUCACCCUUUAUAAACCAUAUGAAGAGCUAUCACGUGAAGGAUCAAAAUCUCUUUUUGAAUACGGUCGUGAGAAUAACAUAAUUACUGAGGAUGAAUGA